GAUGAACGCUGGCGGCGUGCCUAAUACAUGCAAGUCGAACGAGGUGCUCUUGUAGCAAUACGAGAGUAUCCUAGUGGCGAACGGGUGAGUAACGCGUUGGUGACCUACCCCAAAGUGUGGGAUAACAGUCCGAAAGGACUGCUAAUACCGCAUGUGGUUAUUGGAUUUAGAAACCGGUAACUAAAGGAGCAAUUCGCUUU
rnacentral:rRNA from 1 species